rnacentral:lncRNA from 1 species
GUAAGGAAUUAAGGACAUCAGAGGCUGUAGUGAGGAACAGUAGCCCAGGGGCAGGAAAAAAGUCUGUAUAAAAAUGCUGGCCAACUACAUGUCCCUGACCCUAAGCAGAGUAAUUGAAUUUAUAGGAAUAGUGCUGUGCUACAAGUGGCUCUGGGAAGCUGCUGGGCAAGAAAUGCAAAGAGCUCCUAAUAUACAAAAGAAGCUAGGUGUUGGGUAUUUAAAGCCAGCGACAAGGAAAGUGACUAAGACAGAUGACAAACUUGAGGCCAGCCUAGGCUACUUAGUGACACCAUGUCCAAACAAACAAACAAACAAACACCAACAAGGAUUUUAUUUAUCACUAUUAAAAAUCUGAAUUUUAAACAGACUCUUGGACUGGUGGUUCAUAUCCAUCUGUUCAUUCAACGUUAGCUCCCAUCUCAUCUGCAGUAGGGUUUCCAGAGCUGCUGCCUUCACCACGAAUCUCCAUGGGUUUCCCCAGUUCCGCCUUGGGCUUCUUCAGCAUUUUCGCUUUUCUGAUGAGGACAUUGUGAAGAGGAUAAGAACACUGGCAAGCCUCUUCUGUGUCUUUCCCAUGCUGUCUGGAAUCGAUUUAUUGACCACUUCCUUCUGGUC